GACGAACGCUGGCGGCGUGCUUAACACAUGCAAGUCGAACGGAAAGGCCCUGCUUUUGUGGGGUGCUCGAGUGGCGAACGGGUGAGUAACACGUGAGUAACCUGCCCUUGACUUUGGGAUAACUUCAGGAAACUGGGGCUAAUACCGGAUAGGAGCUCCUGCUGCAUGGUGGGGGUUGGAAAGUUUCGGCGGUUGGGGAUGGACUCGCGGCUUAUCAGCUUGUUGGUGGGGUAGUGGCUUACCAAGGCUUUGACGGGUAGCCGGCCUGAGAGGGUGACCGGCCACAUUGGGACUGAGAUACGGCCCAGACUCCUACGGGAGGCAGCAGUGGGGAAUAUUGCACAAUGGGCGGAAGCCUGAUGCAGCAACGCCGCGUGCGGGAUGACGGCCUUCGGGUUGGAAACCGCUUUCGCCUGUGACGAAGCGUGAGUGACGGUAAUGGGGAAAGAAGCACCGGCUAACUACGU
rnacentral:rRNA from 1 species